rnacentral:sRNA from 1 species
ACAAUAAUGUUUUGGUUUGUCAUUAUACCCAUGACCUUUGAUUAUCUUCCUCUUCUCUGUUUCUCUUUUCAUCAACGUCGUUCUUCAAUCUCUACUUCUACAAUCAAUUCUCUAUACUCAUGACUGAUAAUUUUCCUAUUUUAGUCGAUAAUGUGUUUAUGUUUAUACUU